rnacentral:rRNA from 1 species
CUGCUGCCUUCCGUAGGAGUCUGGGCCGUGUCUCAGUCCCAAUGUGGCCGUCCACUCUCUCAAGUCGGCUACUGAUCGCUGCCUUGGUGGGCCGUUACCCCGCCAACUAGCUAAUCAGACGCGGGCCCAUCCUGUACCACCGGAGUUUUCCCCGCAGCGCCAUGCGGCGCCGCGGGCUUAUGCGGUAUUAGCAGCCGUUUCCGGCUGUUGUCCCCCUGUACAGGGCAGGUUACCCCACGCGUUACUCACCCGUCCGCCA